GCAAGGAUUUGAAAGGAUGCUGGAGGGGUCCAGCUGUCUGCUCCGGGACUACGGGAAGGGUUACAAUCCACUCACCAGAAAAAGUGUCACAACCACCACGCCAGCCUCAAAGCUCUCGUGAAGAUUGGCCUUGGCACCUUCAGCAUCAGUGUCACUCCUCCCCUCCACCUGGCUUCCCAAGCAUUGUUACAAAUUCCUGAUCACACGUCUUAACCUGCUCAAGCUAAGAGGAUGCCAUUUUCCUUCAGGUGUGUAUGCCUACCUUGCUCACACUCCUUUUCAUUCUGUAAGCCUCAACUCCGUCCUCUGAAAGCCUU
rnacentral:lncRNA from 1 species